CACGUAGGAGGCAAGCGUUAUUCGGAUUUACUGGGUGUAAAGCGCGUGCAGGCGGUUUGGUAAGUUGGAUGUGAAAGCUCCUGGCUUAACUAGGAGAGGUCGUUCAAUACUACCAGACUAGAGGAUGGGAGAGGAAGGUGGAAUUCCGGGUGUAGUGGUGAAAUGCGUAGAUAUCCGGAGGAACACCAGUGGCGAAAGCGACCUUCUGGCCCAUUUCUGACGCUCAGAUGCGAAAGCUAGGGUAGCAAACGGG
rnacentral:rRNA from 1 species